rnacentral:rRNA from 1 species
AGUGAACGCUGGCGGUAGGCCUAACGCAUGCAAGUCGAACGGCAGCACAGUAAGAGCUUGCUCUUACGGGUGGCGAGUGGCGGACGGGUGAGGAAUACAUCGGAAUCUACUUUUUCGUGGGGGAUAACGUAGGGAAACUUACGCUAAUACCGCAUACGACCUACGGGUGAAAGCAGGGGAUCUUCGGACCUUGCGCGAUUGAAUGAGCCGAUGUCGGAUUAGCUAGUUGGCGGGGUAAAGGCCCACCAAGGCGACGAUCCGUAGCUGGUCUGAGAGGAUGAUCAGCCACACUGGAACUGAGACACGGUCCAGACUCCUACGGGAGGCAGCAGUGGGGAAUAUUGGACAAUGGGCGCAAGCCUGAUCCGGCCAUACCGCGUGGGUGAAGAAGGCCUUCGGGUUGUAAAGCCCUUUUGUUGGGAAAGAAAAGCAGCAGGUUAAUACCCCGCUGUUCUGACGGUACCCAAAGAAUAAGCACCGGCUAACUUCGUG